rnacentral:ncRNA from 1 species
ACAGUCAAAGCCAAACCUGACGAAAGUCAGGGACGGAAAGACACGGAUUCUAAUUAAAGGGGACAGCCGGGUUGCCUGAA